rnacentral:rRNA from 1 species
CCUACGGGUGGCAGCAGUGGGGAAUAUUGGACAAUGGGGGCAACCCUGAUCCAGCCAUGCCGCGUGUGUGAAGAAGGCCCUCGGGUUGUAAAGCACUUUCAGUGAGGAAGAACGCCUGGUGGUUAAUACCCAUCAGGAAAGACAUCACUCACAGAAGAAGCACCGGCUAACUCCGUGCCAGCAGCCGCGGUAAUACGGAGGGUGCGAGCGUUAAUCGGAAUUACUGGGCGUAAAGCGCGCGUAGGUGGCUUGAUAAGCCGGUUGUGAAAGCCCCGGGCUCAACCUGGGAACGGCAUCCGGAACUGUCAAGCUAGAGUGCAGGAGAGGAAGGUAGAAUUCCCGGUGUAGCGGUGAAAUGCGUAGAGAUCGGGAGGAAUACCAGUGGCGAAGGCGGCCUUCUGGACUGACAUUGACGCUGAGGUGCGAAAGCGUGGGUAGCAAACAGGAUUAGAUACCCUAGUAGUC